rnacentral:rRNA from 1 species
UCUGAUGUUAGCGGCGGACGGGUGAGUAACACGUGGAUAACCUACCUAUAAGACUGGGAUAACUUCGGGAAACCGGAGCUAAUACCGGAUAAUAUUUUGAACCGCAUGGUUCAAAAGUGAAAGACGGUCUUGCUGUCACUUAUAGAUGGAUCCGCGCUGCAUUAGCUAGUUGGUAAGGUAACGGCUUACCAAGGCAACGAUGCAUAGCCGACCUGAGAGGGUGAUCGGCCACACUGGAACUGAGACACGGUCCAGACUCCUACGGGAGGCAGCAGUAGGGAAUCUUCCGCAAUGGGCGAAAGCCUGACGGAGCAACGCCGCGUGAGUGAUGAAGGUCUUCGGAUCGUAAAACUCUGUUAUUAGGGAAGAACAUAUGUGUAAGUAACUGUGCACAUCUUGACGGUACCUAAUCAGAAAGCCACGGCUAACUACGUGCCAGCAGCCGCGGUAAUACGUAGGUGGCAAGCGUUAUCCGGAAUUAUUGGGCGUAAAGCGCGCGUAGGCGGUUUUUUAAGUCUGAUGUGAAAGCCCACGGCUCAACCGUGGAGGGUCAUUGGAAACUGGAAAACUUGAGUGCAGAAGAGGAAAGUGGAAUUCCAUGUGUAGCGGUGAAAUGCGCAGAGAUAUGGAGGAACACCAGUGGCGAAGGCGACUUUCUGGUCUGUAACUGACGCUGAUGUGCGAAAGCGUGGGGAUCAAACAGGAUUAGAUACCCUGGUAGUCCACGCCGUAAACGAUGAGUGCUAAGUGUU